rnacentral:rRNA from 1 species
UACGGAGGGUGCGAGCGUUGUCCGGAAUCACUGGGCGUAAAGGGCGCGUAGGCGCCUGGCAAGUCGAUGGUGAAAGCCCGAGGCUCAACUUCGGGUCGGCCACUGAUACUGCUGGGCUUGAGUCGACUAGAGGCAGAUGGAAUUCCGGGUGUAGCGGUGGAAUGCGUAGAGAUCCGGAAGAACACCGGUGGCGAAGGCGGUCUGCUGGGGUCGAACUGACGCUGAGGCGCGACAGCGUGGGGAGCAAACAGG